UACGUAGGGUGCGAGCGUUGUCCGGAAUUAUUGGGCGUAAAGGGCGCGUAGGCGGCGGGGUAAGUCGGGUGUGAAAUCUCAGGGCUCAACCCUGAAACUGCACUUGAUACUGCUCUGCUUGAGGACUGGAGAGGAGACUGGAAUUCACGGUGUAGCAGUGAAAUGCGUAGAUAUCGUGAGGAAGACCAGUGGCGAAGGCGGGUCUCUGGACAGUUCCUGACGCUGAGGCGCGAAGGCCAGGGGAGCAAACGGG
rnacentral:rRNA from 1 species